AUUGAACGCUGGCGGCAUGCUUUACACAUGCAAGUCGAACGGUAACAGGCCGCAAGGUGCUGACGAGUGGCGAACGGGUGAGUAAUGCAUCGGAACGUGCCCAGUCGUGGGGGAUAACGCAGCGAAAGCUGCGCUAAUACCGCAUACGAUCUCUGGAUGAAAGCGGGGGACCGAAAGGCCUCGCGCGAUUGGAGCGGCCGAUGUCAGAUUAGGUAGUUGGUGGGGUAAAGGCUCACCAAGCCAACGAUCUGUAGCUGGUCUGAGAGGACGACCAGCCACACUGGGACUGAGACACGGCCCAGACUCCUACGGGAGGCAGCAGUGGGGAAUUUUGGACAAUGGGCGCAAGCCUGAUCCAGCAAUGCCGCGUGCAGAAAGAAGGCCUUCGGGUUGUAAACUGCUUUUGUACGGAACGAAACGGUCCUGGUUAAUACCUGGGGCUAAUGACGGUACCGUAAGAAUAAGCACCGGCUAACUACGUGCCAGCAGCCGCCGUAACAC
rnacentral:rRNA from 1 species